rnacentral:rRNA from 1 species
ACUGACAGCCAUGGUUACCGCGGCUGCUGGCACGGAGUUAGCCGGUGCUUCUUCUGUGAGUGAUGUCCUUCCUGCCGGCUAUUAACCCGCAGGCCUUCUUCCUCACUGAAAGUGCUUUACAACCCGAAGGCCUUCUUCACACACGCGGCAUGGCUGGAUCAGGGUUGCCCCCAUUGUCCAAUAUUCCCCACUGCUGCCUCCCGUAGGAGUCUGGGCCGUGUCUCAGUCCCAGUGUGGCUGAUCAUCCUCUCAGACAAGCUACGGAUCGUCGCCUUGGUGAGCCGUUACCUCACCAACCAGCUAAUCCGACAUAGGCUCAUCCGAUAGCGCGAGGCCCGAAGGUCCCCCGCUUUCCCCCGUAGGGCGUAUGCGGUAUUAGCCUGGGUUUCCCCAGGUUAUCCCCCACUACCGGGCAGAUUCCUAUGCAUUACUCACCCGUCCGCCGCUCGCCACCAGGGAGCAAGCUCCCCGUGCUGCCGCUCGACUUGCAUGUGUUAGGCCUGCCGCCAGCGUUCAAU